rnacentral:lncRNA from 1 species
CGAUUCAAUCGACAAUCGUGAAUCAAUCGACUAACCCGUGAAUUGAUCGACAAACCCGUGAGUCGAUCGACAAAUCCGUGAGUGGAUCGACCCACGGGUUUGUCGAUCGACUCACGGCUUUUGUCGAUCCAUUCACGGCUUUUGUCGAUCCAUUCACGGUUUUUGUCGAUCCAUUCACGGGUUUGUCGAUUGAUUCACGGUUGUCGAUCGAAUCGGUGUCGAUUAAAAUGUCGCAUUAAAACGUGAAUCGAUCGACCUUUAAUCGAUCGAUUCACGUUUUAAUUUUUCGAUCCAUUCAUGUCAAUCGAAUCGAUACGGGUGUUUUUAAAUUAAUUGUCGAUCGAUUUAUGUCGAUCGAUUCAUGUCGAUCGAUUCACUUUUUUUUCGAUCGAUUCAUGUCGAUCGAAUCGACACCGGUUUCUUAACAAUUUGUCGAUCGGAUCGGUGUCGAUCGAUUCAUGUCGAUCGAUUCACGUUUUCAUUUUUCGAUCGAUUCAUGUUGAUCGAAUCCAUACCCUCCUUCCGUUUAGCAUAAACGCGUCCAUUUGAGUGAUUCUCUUCUGGGUUCGGUGUGGCAACAUCGACGAGGGUGUUUUCUAAGGCAGGAACACCGCAUCCUCCAGAACGGACUCGAUUUCAUCCGGAGGAAGGAGGGCUGGAAAAUGAGAAGCGAAGAGGCCGGAUUUGGCAUCCACCUGCUGCGCAGUUCAAAUAUUGAGACGCAGUUGUCAAACCCACUUCGACUCGACGCGGCGGCCAAACACGUCUGGGGACUGUUUACCCGGAUAAGACAUCAUAUUUUUACAAUAUUGGGCAAAUAUUACUGUUGCGCCCAUCACCUCGAUGCACAAAUACUGUACGCAUCCUUUCUUCCGUCGCUGACGUCAAGACCCGGCCAGCACGGUAAGCACGUUUAAGACGUUCACCUAGAGUACCUUUAUAGACAGAGUAUGGCCAUUUCAGCGGGCUGAUUAUUGAGAUUGAUAGACAAAGCGAUAGACAAAGGAGACAUAGGGAGUUUGGAGCUAUCCUAUUGGUUGAAAUGGGUGAGUCCUAUGGACUAAGGGAGAAAAUGAUGGACUAACUAUCGGAUCUAUCGUGGGUUGCCGUUAGUUAGUCUAUUGCCUACCUUCUUUGUCUAUUGCAACCACCCGCGUCCACCAAUAGGAUCGCUCCAAAUCUCUUUUGUCUUCUUUGUCUAUAGCUUUGUCAAUCUAUUUCAAUAAUCGGCCCGCUGUGCCGGUUUUUCAUUGGUC